AUUGAACGCUGGCGGCAGGCCUAACACAUGCAAGUCGAGCGGUAGAGAGGUGCUUGCAUCUCUUGAGAGCGGCGGACGGGUGAGUAAUGCCUAGGAAUCUGCCCUAGUGGUGGGGGAUAACGUUCGGAAACGGACGCUAAUACCGCAUACGUCCUACGGGAGAAAGCGGGGGAUCUUCGGACCUCGCGCCAUUAGAUGAGCCUAGGUCGGAUUAGCUAGUUGGUGAGGUAAUGGCUCACCAAGGCGACGAUCCGUAACUGGUCUGAGAGGAUGAUCAGUCACACUGGAACUGAGACACGGUCCAGACUCCUACGGGAGGCAGCAGUGGGGAAUAUUGGACAAUGGGCGAAAGCCUGAUCCAGCCAUGCCGCGUGUGUGAAG
rnacentral:rRNA from 1 species